GGGUCGAUGGCGUAGCUGGUUAUCGCAUCUGUCUAACAUUAUAUAUGUUCACAGAAGGUCCUCAGUUCGAACCUGGGUCGACUCA